AGAUAUGGCCUCGAACCGGACGUCGCCGGAGACACAGGUAUGCUCGGCCGCCCUCUCUUCAGUGUCUCCGCCGUUACAAUGUGACGGAUUUUGCUCGGAAUGUUGUGAUGGAGAAGAAGACCGUGAUCCAGAUACGGAUUGCGGAGGUGGAGGUCGAACAGCAGGGGAGCUCGGAUCGUACGGUGGAUACAGAGCAUCGGAUUGAGAGUUUGUGUGCUGGAUUACUUGAUGGCCCUUCGACAGCAGUUUCUACUCCAGAGGAUACGGUGGCCGGAUCAUCAUCGCUCCCGGUGUCAGUGCGGAGACACGCAAGCAACUGAACAAUCGUGCUGUUCGCCUCCGCAUCCACCUUGAUUGAUCCACACAGGAUAGGAACUAAGAGGCGGCAGGGUGGUGUUUGCUACUGGAUUCUCUUAAACUUUCCUAGCUAUGCGUAACUGGAUUCUUGGAUUCUUAUUACUUUCCUAUAAAUCUGUAAAAUCUAAAACCAAUUUGGUUUUUCUUAUGAUAGAGUCUAGGGUUUGGUUGUUUGGUCUCUCAUGUUUCGUAUAUUUGAGAAUAGUAUGGCAUGGUAAUGGGAAUUGAGGAGCUUUGGUUUGAAUUGUGGUUUUAUAAGGUGUUUGUCAGUGCAAAAGUUUGAGUUCUGCCCUUGACAUGGAUUUCUGUUGUUCUUUAUAUUCAUCAUUUGUUAAUAUUGGUAGAAUCAUAGAAACACAGGUUGUUUAUGUUUGUAAAUUAGGAUAUGUAAAAAUUAAGUAAAAUGAUUCACAUUUGUAUAACCUUUAUCAUAUGAUAAGUACAGAAAAUGACCAACAGAGGUUAGGAGUUCGAACCUCAGUGGAGGCAGUGUGUGUGAGUCCCAACUAGGAAAAAAAAAAAAUAA